rnacentral:rRNA from 1 species
CAUAGCGACUAUCGUGGCAUAUCAAUAAGCGGAGGAAAAGAAACUAACAAGGAUUCCCUUAGUAACGGCGAGUGAAGCGGGAAGAGCUCAAAUUUGAAAUCUUCAAGGUUUUACCUUGACGAAUUGUAGUUUAAAGAAGUGUUUUCUGUUGGAGUUUUGGUAAAAGUUCUUUGGAAUAGGACAUCAUAGAGGGUGAGAAUCCCGUAUUUGACCAUUAUUUCCAGCUGUGUGAUACACUUUCAAAGAGUCGGAUUGUUUGGGAAUGCAGUCCAAAAUGGGUGGUAAAUUUCAUCUAAAGCUAAAUAUUGGCGAGAGACCGAUAGCGAACAAGUACCGUGAGGGAAAGAUGAAAAGAACUUUGAAAAGAGAGUUAAACAGUACGUGAAAUUGUCAAAAGGGAAGCGUUUGACACCAGUGUUGUUUAGUUGAAAAUCAAUUAAAUAUUUUUCGAUUUUAAGUAGUAUUGACCUUAUCAGCUUGCUGCUUUUUUCUCGGAAAUUAUUUAAUGCACUUUUCGUUUAACAAGUCAACAUCAAUUUCUUUUGUUGUAAAAGAGUAAUGCGGAAGGUGGCUUGCGCUUUCGGAUAAAGUGUUUAUAGCCCUAUACUUCUAGCAAUCGGAGAGAUUGAGGUCUGCAGCGUAGAUCCUUCGGGGUUAGAUACAUUUGUGCUAAGUUAUAGCUUUUCAUAGACAACUUGUUGACUAUGUUUAGUCUUGUAGCUUACUCGCUUAUGCUAUUUUACCUACGCUUAGGAUGUUGAUAUGCAUGACUGAUAU